AACCAUUCUCACCUGCGGCUAGACCUGCGGAGGGAUCAUUACCGAGUUUACAACUCCCAAACCCCUGUGAACAUACCAAUUGUUGCCUCGGCGGAUCAGCCCGCUCCCGGUAAAACGGGACGGCCCGCCAGAGGACCCCUAAACUCUGUUUCUAUAUGUAACUUCUGAGUAAAACCAUAAAUAAAUCAAAACUUUUAACAACGGAUCU
rnacentral:misc_RNA from 1 species